rnacentral:lncRNA from 1 species
GAGACUACAGGCAUACACCACACCCAGCUACUCUGUCUCUUGAAGACCCCCUCGAACACUGGGUCAAGUGUCAUGACCAGAACUGAUAAACCCAGAGCCUUGUUUGAGUGAGCUCGAGUUUUGCAAGGAGCAAGAACCAAGAAUCUGUCUGCAGGGAAGAGGGUACCCAGGGCCAGGAGACAGGUUUCUGGGUAGCAGCCUCUACAGUGAACCAGGGUGGAUACCUAAGACAUUUUUAAGUACCCUUAAAAGACCUCUAGGCAACCAUAACAAAGGUCAACAAAUGAAACUCAAGCAUGAAUAAACAGGAAGAAGAGUCUAGGAUUGUAGCCGACCAUCUAAUGGUGCAGUGCAUCACCCACGGUACCCGCUGAAGGGACAGUCUUGUGCCGGCCAUCUCAGUGCCCUCCCUUCUUGGCCUUGCUGAUUAGACCCCAAGGGAACCAGGACACAAGGCGGCCAAUCCAGAGAUGUAUCAUGUGCCCUGGCGGAAGACAGAUGAGCUGGCUUAGGAACAUGAAUGAGGAACUCCAGCAAUGAGGAGGGUCUUGCUCUGUCACUCAGGCUGGAGUGCA